rnacentral:lncRNA from 1 species
AUGAAGGGGAGUGUAAAGGGAAUUAGACUGCGUGGGAGUCAGGCUCGCUCCAAAGAAAACAGGCCCCGGAAUGUUUCAAGAUGGGAUCUACAGAGAGGGAGUGAGUCACUAAGAGAAGAAGGGAAGAGAGAACAGAAAACACCAGGAGACACAGUCAUUCCGCUGCUGUGAAAGUGUCAUGACUGUAUCUUAGUUGGAAGAAUGGUGAGGAAUAAUUACAGGUGCCAAUUCCAAAUAAUUUCCUCUGGCCCUUCAUUUUCAAUUAAUCGUAUGUAUUAUUUGGUAACUUUGAGAUAAACUUUGGGACUAACUUCUUUUCAGGGACUACAAUGUUUUGAUUGAUAAUGAUUGUUUUGUUUUACUGAUAUUUUAUUAUUUUUUUUCUCUUUUGUUUUUUGAGGAAGCUUAGCCCUGAGCUAACAUCUGCUGCCAAUCCUCCUCUUUUUGCUGGGGAAAACUGAUUUGGAGCUAACAUCCGGCCCAUCUUCCUCUGUUUAUAUGUGGGACGCCUACCACAGCAUGGCUUGAUAAGCAAUGCCUAUGUCCACGCAUAGGACAUAGGCAUAGGGAUCUGAACCAGAGAACCCUGGGUUGGUGAAGCAGAGCACGCGAACUUAUUAACCACUACGCCACAGGGCAGGCCACUGUUUUACUGAUAUUUUAUUUUUAUUUUUUUACUUUUUCCUUCUUCUCCCCAAAGUGCCCCCCGUACAUAGUUGUAUAUUUUAGUUGUGGGUCCUUCUAGUUGUGGCAUGUGGGAUGCUGCCUCAGCAUGGCUUGACGAGCAAUGCUAGGUCAGUGGCCAGGAUCCAAACUGGUGAAACCUCAGGCUGCCCAAAGUGGAGCACACAAACCCAACCACUCGGCCACAGGGCUGGCCCCUUACUGAUAUUUUAGAACAAAGUAUUUUAAAUUUUUUUCCUUUUUCCUUAAUUUUAUCAUGUAGAAAUAAGACUCUCAAACAGAGUUAACUGUAUUACUUUCAAAAUUAUUAUUUUUAUAUUCCACCUGUACAGAAAAUCUUUGAACUGCACUGAGAAUUGAUUUUGCAGUAGAAGCCUUCCGAUACCGCAGUAUGGUUGCUUAUUGAGACUCAUAAAUAUAAAUCUGUCUGGAGUAGAGCUAUCCUCAGUAUAAAUUGAAUUUGGGGAUCAUUG